AGUGAACGCUGGCGGUAGGCCUAACACAUGCAAGUCGAACGGCAGCACAGUAAGAGCUUGCUCUUACGGGUGGCGAGUGGCGGACGGGUGAGGAAUACAUCGGAAUCUACUUUUUCGUGGGGGAUAACGUAGGGAAACUUACGCUAAUACCGCAUACGACCUACGGGUGAAAGCAGGGGAUCUUCGGACCUUGCGCGAUUGAAUGAGCCGAUGUCGGAUUAGCUAGUUGGCGGGGUAAAGGCCCACCAAGGCGACGAUCCGUAGCUGGUCUGAGAGGAUGAUCAGCCACACUGGAACUGAGACACGGACCAGGCUCCUACGGGAGGCAGCAGUGGGGAAUAUUGGACAAUGGGCGCAAGCCUGAUCCAGCCAUACCGCGUGGGUGAAGAAGGCCUUCGGGUUGUAAAGCCCUUUUGUUGGGAAAGAAAAGCAGCAGGUUAAUACCCCGCUGUUCUGACGGUACCCAAAGAAUAAGCACCGGCUAACUUCGUG
rnacentral:rRNA from 1 species